rnacentral:ribozyme from 1 species
UUUCACGAGACGUGGCUGCGCUGCGCUGGGCUGCUGCUUGAGUCAAGUGAAAGAAGGAAGGACGACGACGACGACGACCG